AUGGGCGGCCUGAGGAGCACGCAACACGAUUGCGGCGGCGGCGUCAGCCACUCGCUCUCGUUCCUCCUCGGGGCUCUCCUCCCCACCGUGCUGCUCUUCUUCCUCGCCUCCGACCGGGUCGACGAGCAGCUGUCCAGCAUAUCGACCUUCAGGUUCGGGAACGGAUCGGCAGCUCAUCAGCUGACUCGCCAUGCCGCUAGCCUCCCGACCGAUGUCGGGGAUGGUGCCGACGAAAAGGUACGCGUAGUCCAGUUGCAGUCUACAAUGCCCGCGAUGGCUGGGAGAUUAACCGAUUUGCAUGCGCAGGAGGAGUCAUUCCCGGGGCUGGCGGAGCUGCUGCCGAGGGUCGCCAUGGACGACGGGACGGUGAUCAUCACGUCGGUGAACGAGGCGUUCGCGCGGCCGGGCUCCCUGCUCGACCUCUUCCGCGGGAGCUUCCGCGACGGCGAGGGGAUCGCCCACCUCCUCAACCACACCCUCAUCGUCGCCGCAGACCCCGGCGCCUUGGCCCUCUGCGAGGCCGUGCACCCGCACUGCUACCUCCUCCAGGUCAUGGCCGCCGGCGUCAGCUCCGCCAACGGCUUCCUGACCAGAAGCUACCUCGAGCUCGUCUGGUCCAAGCUCACCUUCCAGCACCGCGUCCUCCAGCUCGGCUACAACUAUCUCUACACCGAUCUGGAUGUGAUGUGGCUGCGCAACCCGUUCCGGCACAUCAGCCUCUACGCGGACAUGGCCAUCUCAACCGACCGGUUCAACGGCGACGCUGAGGACCUGACGAACGCGCCGAACACCGGCUUCUACUACGUCAGGUCCACGAACCGCACGGUGGAGAUGCUGAGACGGUGGCGGGCGGCGAGGUCGCGGUUCCGGCCGAAGGCCCACGACCAGGAGGUCUUCGAGGCGAUCAAGGGCGAGUUCGUCGGCGGCGAGCUGCAGAUAAAGCUGGUGUUCCUCGACACGGCGCUCUUCGACGGCUUCUGCGAGUACCACGGCGAGAUGGACAGGGUGUGCACGAUGCACGCCAACUGCUGCCUCCGUCUCGCGACCAAGUUGCACGACCUCAGGAACGUGGUCGCCGACUGGAAGAGGUACUCCAGCCUGACGCCGCCGGAGAAGAUGAGCAGCAAGCUCAGGUGGACGUACCCCGCCAAGUGUGCGGCGACGAUGAAAAUACCAGCAUAA
rnacentral:rRNA from 1 species